rnacentral:rRNA from 1 species
GACAGAGGGUGCAAACGUUGUUCGGAAUUACUGGGCGUAAAGCGUGUGUAGGCGGCCAUUCAAGUCGGAUGUGAAAGCCCCGGGCUCAACCCGGGAAGUGCACCCGGAACCUGGAUGGCUUGAGUAUCGGAGAGGUUGGUGGAAUUCUCGGUGUAGAGGUGAAAUUCGUAGAUAUCGAGAGGAACGACCGGUGGACGAAGGCGGCCAACUGGAGCGAAUCAACUGACGCUGAGACACGAAAGCGUGGGGAGC